rnacentral:rRNA from 1 species
GAUGAACGCUAGCGACAGGCUUAACACAUGCAAGUCGAGGGGCAGCGGGGUGUGGCAACACACUGCCGGCGACCGGCGCACGGGUGAGUAACGCGUAUGCAACUUGCCUAUCAGAGGGGGAUAACCCGGCGAAAGUCGGACUAAUACCGCAUAAAACCGGGGUUCCGCAUGGGGAUCUUUGUUAAAGAUUCAUCGCUGAUAGAUAGGCAUGCUUUCCAGUAGGCAGUUGUCGGGGUAACGGCCAACCAAACCGACGAUGGAUAGGGGUUCUGAGAGGAAGGUCCCCCACAUUGGUACUGAGACACGGACCAAACUCCUACGGGAGGCAGCAGUGGGGAAUAUUGGUCAAUGGCCGGGAGGCUGAACCAGCCAAGUCGCGUGAAGGAUGAAGGUUCUAUGGAUUGUAAACUUCUUUUGUGCGGGAAUAAAGUCGGGGAUGCGUCCCCGUUUGCAUGUACCGUACGAAUAAGCAUCGGCUAACUCCGUGCCAGCAGCCGCAGUAA